rnacentral:rRNA from 1 species
GAUGAACGCUGGCGGCGUGCCUAAUACAUGCAAGUCGAGCGAAGCGGGGACGUGUGAGUCACACUUGGAUAACCUCCUAUACGACUGGUAUAACUUCGGGAAACCGUAGCUAAACCGGAUACUUAUAUCUGGAUCCUCGCUGCAUGAGCUAGUUGGUAAGGGAACGGCUUACCAAGGCAACGAGGCAUAGCCGACCUGAGAGGGUGAUCGGCCACACUGGGACUGAGAAACGUGCCAGACUCCUACGGGAGGCAGCAGUAGGGAAUCUUCCGCAAUGGGCGAAAGCCUGACGGAGCAACGCCGCGUGAGUGAAGAAGGUCUUCGGAUCGUAAAACUCUGUUAUUAGGGAAGCGGUACCUAAUCAGAAAGCCACGGCUAACUACGUGACAGCAGCCGCGGUAAUUC